GGCCAGUUGGUCAAGUGGUCAAGACGCCGCCCUCUCACGGCGGAAUCAGGGGUUCGACUCCCCUACUGGCUG
rnacentral:tRNA from 1 species